rnacentral:rRNA from 1 species
CUUAGUGGCGCACGGGUGCGUAACGCGUGGGAAUCUGCCCUUGGGUACGGAAUAACUCAGAGAAAUUUGUGCUAAUAACGUAUAUUGUCUUCGGACCAAAGAUUUAUCGCCCAAGGAUGAGCCCGCGCUAGGACUAGCUAGUUGGUGAGGUAAAAGCUCACCAAGGCGACGAUCCUUAGCUGGUCUGAGAGGAUGAUCAGCCACACUGGGACUGAGACACGGCCCAGACUCCUACGGGAGGCAGCAGUGGGGAAUAUUGGACAAUGGGCGAAAGCCUGAUCCAGCAAUGCCGCGUGAGUGAUGAAGGCCUUAGGGUUGUAAAGCUCUUUUACCCGGGAUGAUAAUGACAGUACCGGGAGAAUAAGCUCCGGCUAACUCCGUGCCAGCAGCCGCGGUAAUACGGAGGGAGCUAGCGUUGUUCGGUAUUACUGGGCGUAAAGCGCGCGUAGGCGGUUUUUUAAGUCAGAGGUGAAAGCCCAGUGCUCAACACUGGAACUGCCUUUGAAACUGGAAAACUUGAAUCUUGGAGAGGUCAGUGGAAUUCCGAGUGUAGAGGUGAAAUUCGUAGAUAUUCGGAAGAACACCAGUGGCGAAGGCGACUGAC